UACGAAGGGAGCUAGCGUUGUUCGGAAUCACUGGACGUAAAGCGCGUGUAGGCGGACUUGUAAGUUGGGGGUGAAAUCCCGAGGCUCAACCUCGGAACUGCCUCCAAAACUACAAGUCUGGAGCAAGAUAGAGGCAAGUGGAAUUGCGAGUGUAGAGGUGAAAUUCGUAGAUAUUCGCAGGAACACCAGUGGCGAAGGCGACUUGCUGGAUCUUUGCUGACGCUGAGACGCGAAAGCGUGGGGAGCAAACAGG
rnacentral:rRNA from 1 species